rnacentral:rRNA from 1 species
CCGUCGUCGUCAGCGAUGGCGGCGGCGGGUCCCUGGGGCCCAGAUCGUUUACCGUGAAAAAAUUAGAGUGUUCAAAGCAGGCAGAUCAAAUUCUCUGCCACCGAAUACAUUAGCAUGGGAUAAUGGAAUAGGACCCUGUCCUCCUAUUUUCAGUUGGUUUUGGCAGCGCGAGGACUAGGGUAAUGAUUAAUAGGGAUAGUUGGGGGCAUUAAUAUUUAAUUGUCAGAGGUGAAAUUCUUGGAUUUAUGAAAGAUUAACUUCUGCGAAAGCAUCUGCCAAGGAUGUUUUCAUUAAUCAAGAACGAAAGUUAGGGGAUCGAAGACGAUCAGAUACCGUCGUAGUCUUAACCAUAAACGAUGCCGACCAGCGAUUAGGAGACGUUGAAUACAAAACACCACCACCGGCGCGGUCGUCCUUGGCGGCCGUCCCUUUCAACGGGGGCGGUCGCGAGGGCGGCUUAGCCCGGUGGCACCGGUGAAUGACUCCCCUAGCAGCUUGUGAGAAAUCAUAAGUCUUUGGGUUCCGGGGGGAGUAUGGUCGCAAGGCUGAAACUUAAAGGAAUUGACGGAAGGGCACCACCAGGAGUGGAGCCUGCGGCUUAAUUUGACUCAACACGGGGAAACUUACCAGGUCCGGACAUAGUAAGGAUUGACAGA